UACGUAGGGGGCAAGCGUUGUCCGGAAUCAUUGGGCGUAAAGAGCGUGUAGGCGGUCCGGUAAGUCGGCUGUGAAAGUCCAGGGCUCAACCCUGGGAUGCCGGUCGAUACUGCCGGACUAGAGUUCGGAAGAGGCGAGUGGAAUUCCCGGUGUAGCGGUGAAAUGCGCAGAUAUCGGGGAGGAACACCCUAUGGCGAAGGCAGCUCGCUGGGACGUUACUGACGCUGAGACGCGAAAGCGUGGGGAGCAAACAGG
rnacentral:rRNA from 1 species